UACGGGGGGGGCAAGCGUUGUUCGGAAUUACUGGGCGUAAAGGGCUCGUAGGCGGCCAACUAAGUCCGACGUGAAAUCCCCAGGCUUAACCUGGGAACUGCGUCGGAUACUGGAUGGCUUGAAUUCGGGAGAGGGAUGCGGAAUUCCAGGUGUAGCGGUGAAAUGCGUAGAUAUCUGGAGGAACACCGGUGGCGAAGGCGGCAUCCUGGACCGACACUGACGCUGAGGAGCGAAAGCCAGGGGAGCAAACGGG
rnacentral:rRNA from 1 species